rnacentral:rRNA from 1 species
UACGUAGGGGGCUAGCGUUGUCCGGAAUCAUUGGGCGUAAAGCGCGUGUAGGCGGCUCGGUAAGUCCGCUGUGAAAGUCGGGGGCUCAACCCUCGGAUGCCGGUGGAUACUGUCGGGCUAGAGUACGGAAGAGGCGAGUGGAAUUCCUGGUGUAGCGGUGAAAUGCGUAGAUAUCUGGAAGGAACAUCAGUGGCGAAGGCGGCUCACUGGCCCGGUACUGACGCUGAGGCGCGAAAGCGUGGGAGCA